rnacentral:rRNA from 1 species
UACGAAGGGGGCUAGCGUUGCUCGGAAUUACUGGGCGUAAAGCGCACGUAGGCGGCUUCUUAAGUCGGUGGUGAAAUCCUGGAGCUCAACUCCAGAACUGCCUUCGAUACUGAGGAUCUUGAGUCCGGGAGAGGUGAGUGGAACUCCGAGUGUAGAGGUGAAAUUCGUAGAUAUUCGGAAGAACACCAGUGGCGAAGGCGGCUCACUGGCCCGGUACUGACGCUGAGGUGCGAAAAGCGUGGGGA